rnacentral:rRNA from 1 species
AGAGUUUGAUCAUGGCUCAGGAUGAACGCUGGCGGCGUGCUUAAUACAUGCAAGUCGAGCGAGGACCACUUGGUGGCAACACCGGGUGGCUCCUAGCGGCGAACGGGUGAGUAACACGUGGGCAACCUGCCCCCGACUCUGGGAUAAGCCCGGGAAACUGGGUCUAAUACCGGAUACGAACCUCCUCCGCAUGGUGGAGGUUGGAAAGGGUCUCCGGUCGGGGAUGGGCCCGCGGCCUAUCAGCUUGUUGGUGGGGUAACGGCCCACCAAGGCGACGACGGGUAGCCGGCCUGAGAGGGUGAACGGCCACACUGGGACUGAGACACGGCCCAGACUCCUACGGGAGGCAGCAGUAGGGAAUCUUGCGCAAUGGGCGAAAGCCUGACGCAGCGACGCCGCGUGCGGGACGAAGGCCCUCGGGUUGUAAACCGCUUUCAGCAGGGACGAAGCGAAAGUGACGGUACCUGCAGAAGAAGGUCCGGCCAACUACGUGCCAGCAGCGGCGGUAAUUC